rnacentral:lncRNA from 1 species
UGGCAUCAUAAUGUGUGGGAACUGGAAUUUAUUGUGUUGGGAGAUUACUGGCUCAGCAUCUGAGGUUGCUGACCUCCACCUUGCAUCUGAGUUCUCUGGCACCAAGUGUUGUUUUCAAUUCUGAGCUUCCAGAUUUCAAUGAAUCAUGAUGCCUGGGCUCAGUGAAUCCUUGGAGAUGAGCGAGCUGGAAAUUAAUUGACUGAAUCUCUUGAGGACAGAAAUACAUCCUCUCCAGAUCAAUUCACUCACCUCCUUCUGAUUCAGCACCAGAGAUGGGGAGGAACACACAUGGAUAUAGAAAUGGUAAAACUGAAGCACAGAGUGGUAAUUGACUUCACUCAGAAUCAAGAAGUGAUGUGGGGCUCCCUCAAGUCUCCAUCUCCACAUGGAAGUCCUGGUGGCAUCUUCAGCCAGAGGUUCAUCAACUUAAGCCUCUUCCUUCAGCUCCAGUCACUCAACCAGCAAAUCUCUCCAGAGCAGAAAGCUCCAGUUCAGAAUGAUUCCUGGAAAAGCACAUCCUGUGAUCAACUUGGAAAGAAUUCAAUCUUUCUACAGUUUCCAGUUCAUGAAAUGGCUGCAUUCAAUGAUGUGGAACUCCUGUUUUCUGCAAAAAAGCUGUGGGUGGGGAGCAUUUGAAAGUACAAGCCUAGUGUUUAAACCCUGUUGGGAGAAUGGGGAGAACAUUUGAUUAGCCAGGUCAACCCUUCGGGGACUUACUCUUGG